rnacentral:tRNA from 1 species
UCUCUGUUAGUAUAUCGGUUAGUACACGCGCCUGUCACUCUGCUGGCCGCGCGAAAGCGGGGUUCGACUCCCCGACAGAGAG